rnacentral:pre_miRNA from 1 species
AUUGUAAUCACUCCGUUCCAUAAUUCUUGUCUCAAAUUUGAUAAAAAAAUGGAUGUAUUUAUUCCGAAAAAGUGUCUAGAUAUAUGUAAUAUUGAGACAAGAAUUAUGGAACGGAGGGAGUACUGU